rnacentral:lncRNA from 1 species
UUGCAGAUCAAACGACCCCUUUAUUCAAAACCUUAUCCUCCUAUCUUUCAAAUUGGUUUGCAUCCAUAUCCAGCGGAAACCAGGUUUUGAAUCCUAAAUCCAUAUGAAGCUAUGAAAGCUAUAAAUUUUCUCCCAGUAUAUGAUGGAAACAAAAUAGGCGAUUAUCUGGUUCGUGUUUCCUGUUAUACCUGGAGAACAGGUAGUGUAUCUUCUCGGAAGAUUUCAGCUUCAUACAUGGUAAUCUGGUUUUUUUUUUUUCCGAAUAUUUUGAUUUGGUGAUUUGGUGAUUUGGGCUUUGUUUUUGACAGUGUUCAUUACCUGGAUAACAGGUAUUACACUCCCUCGAUUUCAAUACCAGUAUUUGAUAACAGGUGCUACUGUAUCUUUGCUCUAAUUUUUUUUUUUUCACUUCAAUUGUUCGAGAUUUUAGAGUUUGACGACGAGUAUGAAUUGGUGGC